UUCACGACAACCGGAAACCGACACUUCCUGCUUUGCGAGUUUUUGCACUAAGGAGAAAUGUCUCUCUUUUCAACAUCUUUGCUUAAUUUGCCAAUCUUUUCUUUCGCUGCUGAGGAGGAAAUCGCAGCGGCGAAUUCUCGAACUAAUAAACUUGAAAGGAUAAAAGUUCUUCCAUGAAGAAAAUCUCCACAGCUGUCAAGACUGCCCACUACUCCCAACUCCAGCUGCCAACUGGUCCUCCUGUACUGGCCCGCACAAGAGAUUUACAAAGAUGGCACAGACAAAGAACACAGGGAAUCCAUCCUGAACCUGCCAGCGAGGUGGUGGUGGUGUGAAAGCCCAAAACUGUGGUGAAAAGAUGUUUGCACUCCACGCUUUACAGAGCUUUCACAGGACCACUUCCAGAUCCUGACAUCCUGGCAUCGGGAGAAAAACCACCAGCUGGAGUCCCAACCACUUAUCACACUUAUCCUAGAGAUGGUCUCUCAGCUUUGGAGCUGGUACCAUCCAGACUUGGGCCUGUGCCACAGGGCUCACUGAGGUCUCACCAGUGCCCA